GAAACUGGGGAACUNGAGUGCAGAAGAGGAGAGUGGAAUUCCACGUGUAGCGGUGAAAUGCGUAGAGAUGUGGAGGAACACCAGUGGCGAAGGCGACUCUCUGGUCNNUAACUGACGCUGAGGAGCGAAAGCGUGGGGAGCGAACAGGAUUAGAUACCCUGGUAGUCCACGCCGUAAACGAUGAGUGCUAAGUGUUAGGGGGUUUCCGCCCCUUAGUGCUGCAGCUAACGCAUUAAGCACUCCGCCUGGGGAGUACGGUCGCAAGACUGAAACUCAAAGGAAUUGACGGGGGCCCGCACAAGCGGUGGAGCAUGUGGUUUAAUUNGAAGCAACGCGAAGAACCUUACCAGGUCUUGACAUCCUNUGACAAUCCUAGAGAUAGGACGUCCCCUUCGGGGGCAGAGUGACAGGUGGUGCAUGGUUGUCGUCAGCUCGUGUCGUGAGAUGUUGGGUUAAGUCCCGCAACGAGCGCAACCCUUGAUCUUAGUUGCCAGCAUUCAGUUGGGCACUCUAAGGUGACUGCCGGUGACAAACCGGAGGAAGGUGGGGAUGACGUCAAAUCAUCAUGCCCCUUAUGACCUGGGCUACACACGUGCUACAAUGGACAGAACAAAGGGCAGCGAAACCGCGAGGUUAAGCCAAUCCCACAAAUCUGUUCUCAGUUCGGAUCGCAGUCUGCAACUCGACUGCGUGAAGCUGGAAUCGCUAGUAAUCGCGGAUCAGCAUGCCGCGGUGAAUACGUUCCCGGGCCUUGUACACACCGCCCGUCACACCACGAGAGUUUGUAACACCCGAAGUCG
rnacentral:rRNA from 1 species